rnacentral:rRNA from 1 species
CGAAGAACCUUACCUAGACUUGACAUCUCCUGCAUUACCCUUAACCGGGGAAGUCCUUCGGGACAGGAUGACAGGUGGUGCAUGGUUGUCGUCAGCUCGUGUCGUGAGAUGUUGGGUUAAGUCCCGCAACGAGCGCAACCCCUAUUGUUAGUUGCUACCAUUAAGUUGAGCACUCUAGCGAGACUGCCUAGGUUAACUAGGAGGAAGGCGGGGAUGACGUCAAAUCAUCAUGCCCCUUAUGUCUAGGGCUACACACGUGCUACAAUGGAUAGUACAAUAAGACGCGAUAUCGUGAGGUGGAGCAAAUCUUAUAAAACUAUUCUCAGUUCGGAUUGUAGGCUGAAACUCGCCUACAUGAAGUUGGAGUUGCUAGUAAUCGCGAAUCAGAAUGUCGCGGUGAAUACGUUCCCGGGUCUUGUACACACCGA